UCUUGGUCAUUUAGAGGAAGUAAAAGUCGUAACAAGGUUUCCGUAGGUGAACCUGCGGAAGGAUCAUUAACAGAGACGAGGGUCCCCCGGGGCCCCAACUCACCACCCUUUGCGAACUUACCUUCGUUGCUUUGGCGGGCUGCGGGGUCCUUGGACCCCCCGUCGACCCCGGUGGACGCGCGCCCGUCGGAGGCCCCUCCCAACUCUGUUAAUCAGUGAAGUCCGAGCCAAAACAUAAUCGUUUUAAAACUUUCAACAACGGAUCUCUUGGUUCCGGCAUCGAUGAAGAACGCAGCGAAAUGCGAUAAGUAAUGUGAAUUGCAGAAUUCAGUGAAUCAUCGAAUCUUUGAACGCACAUUGCGCCCUCCGGUAUUCCGGGGGGCAUGCCUGUUCGAGCGUCAUUACAACCCUCAAGCUCGGCUUGGUCUUGGGUGCCGCCCCCCCGGGGCGCUCCCGAAAGUCAGCGGCGACGCGGUCGGUCUUCAAGCGUAGUAAAACUUUUGUUUCGCUUUCGGAGCCCGGGCGCGUCCGCCGGACAACCCUCUUAUCUCAACGGUUGACCUCGGAUCAGGUAGGGAUACCCGCUGAACUUAAGCAUAUCAAUAAGCGGAGGAA
rnacentral:rRNA from 1 species